GGAGGGCGCAAGCGUUGUUCGGAAUCAUUGGGCGUAAAGCGCGUGUAGGCGGCUUGGCAAGCCGGGUGUGAAAUCCCGGGGCUCAACCCCGGAACUGCAUUCGAUACUGCCUCGCUAGAGUCCCGGAGAGGAGGGCGGAAUUCCCGGUGUAGAGGUGAAAUUCGUAGAUAUCGGGAGGAACACCAGUGGCGAAGGCGGCCCUCUGGACGGUGACUGACGCUGAGAUGCGAAAGCGUGGGGAGCAAACAGGAUUAGAUACCCUGGUAGUCCACGCUGUAAACGUUGGGUGCUAGGUGUCGCGGGUAUUGACCCCUGCGGUGCCGACGCUAACGCAUUUAGCACCCCGCCUGGGGAGUACGGUCGCAAGGCUA
rnacentral:rRNA from 1 species